rnacentral:tRNA from 1 species
CCGGAGUAGCUCAGUUGGNA